AUAGUAUUGGGAACCAGUCACCAGAGGUAUUAAAUAGUAUUGGGAACCAGUCACCAGAGGUAUUAAAUAGUAUUGGGAACCAGUCACCAGAGGUAUUAAAUAGUAUUGGGAACCAGUCACCAGAGGUAUUAAAUAGUAUUGGGAACCAGUCACCAGAGGUAUUAAAUAGUAUUGGGAACCAGUCACCAGAGGUAUUAAAUAGUAUUGGGAACCAGUCACCAGAGGUAUUAAAUAGUAUUGGGAACCAGUAACCAGAGGUAUUAAAUAGUAUUGGGAACCAGUAACCAAAGCCAUUAAAUAGUAUUGGGAACCAGUCACCAGAGGUAUUAAAUAGUAUUGGUAACCAGUCACC